UACGUAGGGUGCGAGCGUUGUCCGGAUUUACUGGGCGUAAAGGGCGCGUAGGCGGCGCGGUAAGUCACUUGUGAAAUCUCUGAGCUUAACUCAGAACGGCCAAGUGAUACUGCAGUGCUAGAGUGUGGAAGGGGCAAUCGGAAUUCUUGGUGUAGCGGUGAGAUGCGCAGAUAUCAGGAGGAACACCGGUGGCGAAAGCGGCCACCUGGACUGUACCUGACGCUCAAACGCGAAAGCUAGGGGAGCGAACGGG
rnacentral:rRNA from 1 species